CGGGAGCGCCGCCGAUGCGGCCUGGGCCCGCGGGGACGGGCCCAGCGCGGCCUCCGCAUCCCCGGCCUUGCGUGACGGGGGUCGCCGCCCAUGGCGGCCCCUCCCCGGGGCUGCGCCGCUGGCGGUACCGGAGGCGGUACCGGAGGUCUCAGGCCCACGCGUGAGGCCCGGCUCCACCGCAGAUCGUGGUCUUCAGCUGUCUGGGUGUCAUUUCAAGUCAGGAAACAACUGCAAGGAUUGGAUUUCAUGAGUUCUGCAAAGAAAAUGCCUUUGUGAGGAGCAAGAGUGGUGAUUGCAGGAGAGCUGGGACAAAGGGACAGAGCAGAUACAGGAUUUCUCUGCUGGGAUUUUUCCAACAGGAUCCGUGUGACCUUUUGUGAUCCAGAACUAUUCCAUUGAAAGAGAAAGGAUAUUGGAAAAUCCCUGAGAGCCUGGUAUCUGGAACAAUGAGCAUUUCUGGAUGUGGGUGGCUCCUCUCCGUGUCCGAAGGCCGUGGUGGGGAUAUCUCACCACAUCUUCCCUCAGCACCAUUUUGGCCACGCCAGCCAUCCUGUACCUUCCCUGGAAUUUCAGAUUAUGCCUUUUCAUCUACUGAAAUAUUCCUCCCUGCAGAUUUAAAUAAUUAAUUGGGACGUGCCUAGUGGGUCUUGAGCUAAACUUCAGAGAGGCAGCAGAUAUGUGUGACCAAGUGACCUUUUGCUGUCCUGCUCGUCCCCGCGCGCUCGCUGUGCUCAAAGGGACGCUGUCAAAAUUGCUAGGCCUUAAAACUUUAACCCGCACUGACAAGUUGUUCUACAUUAUAAGUCUUCCCUAAAAGAUUACCACGAUUGUUUUGUUUGUUUUGUUCCAACCAUCUUUGCUGAAGGCUCCACAAUACGGAUUCAUUUGUCCUUUUGGGUAGGUGGAUAUUUUUAAAUGCCCGGCUUAUUCCGUGACCUGUUAAAAUCGAGUUGAUGUGCGUGUGCUCCACUCAGCGGAGAACUCGCCGGGGAUGGAGCGAUUUCUCUGCACUCUGGAACAAGAGACAGGAAUGCACUUGGGAAGCCUUUCUGGAGAGGCUUUGAGAAGCCAUUUUGAAGGGCCUCUUGUUAUCUUCAGUGCUUCGGAAGUCAUGACUGGACUUGCCUGUGAUACAAAGUGUUGUGUACUUGUUAGUGAAACGCCAGCUGGUUCUUA